AGCCAGGAACAACGUUCUUCAGAGCUCACUAAUCUGUUAGACCAGUGGCAAGAUGGGAAUGGAUGUGAGACACAACAGUAGCUGUCUUCCACUGUCCUAAACACUUUCGGUGCAUUUCGUCAUUCCCAUUUCAUGGGCAGAAUCGGUCAGCAGCCUCACAUUCAACAGGAAUUCGGGGACAUUUUGAGUGUAAUGACUUGGAGAAGCAUUUGGUAGAAGCACGGCCAAGGAAAACACUGACAUUCUGCAGAGCGUCAAGCUGGGAAGGCCGCCAGACCAUGCCACAGGCCGUCUCCAGUACAGGCUGGCUGGGAGGAGGAGGAAGGAGAGCAGUGCUUGUUUCUGAGAGCUUCGUCAGCCGUGGUUCCAAAUGAAAUGCUUUGCCUCCGUGAUCUCGCUUGUUCAGGGAGCUAUGGAUUUGAACAGACAGGUCUGAUGUCACUGUCUCAAUGAUGCCCUCAAGGGCUGUGCCCUUGCUGGGUGGGUCCCCUGAAAGGUUGGGACUGUCUUUUUGCUGCUCUUAUAUUGAAUGUCUUAAUCAGGUCAGGUAG
rnacentral:lncRNA from 1 species